CGCCUGGUCUCAAGCUCUUGAGCUCAAGCAAUUGUCUGCCUCAGCCUCCCAAAGUGCUAAGAUUACAGGUGUGAGCCACUGCGCCUGGCCCUACCCUGAUAUUCUUUUUUUUUGAGACGGGAGUCUCGCUCUGUUGCCAGGCUGGAGUGCAGCGGCGAUCUUGGCUCACUGCAACCUCCGACUCCCGGGUUCCAGCGAUUCUCCUGCCUCAGCCUCCUGAGUAGCUGGGACUACAGGCGCGUGCCACCACACCCUGCUAAGUUUUGUAUUUUUAAUAGAGACGGGGUUCCACCAUGUUGGCCAGGAUGGUCUCGAUCUCCUGACCUCGUGAUCUGCCCGCCUCGGGCCUUCCAAAGUGCUGGGAUUACAGGCGUGACUCACUGCACCUGGCCCUGAUAUUUCACCAUGUUAGCUAAGAUGAUCUCGAUCUCCUGACCUCGUGAUCCAUCCGCCUUGGCCUCCCAAAGUGCUGGGAUUACAGGCAUGAGCCACCGCGCCUGGCCGGCCCUGAUAUUCUUAUAGAAGCUCCUUCUCCAACCCCAGCUGAGAAUCACUCAUUUAUCUUGUCAUAAAAUUUUAAAAAUAUAGAUUUAAAAAAACAUGAUUAGAAUGCAUAUUUAAUAGUAUUAAACA
rnacentral:lncRNA from 1 species